rnacentral:rRNA from 1 species
UGGUCAAUGGGCGAGAGCCUGAACCAGCCAAGUCGCGUGAAGGAUGAAGGAUCUAUGGUUUGUAAACUUCUUUUAUAGGGGAAUAAAGUGUGGAACGUGUUCCAUUUUGUAUGUACCCUAUGAAUAAGCAUCGGCUAACUCCGUGCCAGCAGCCGCGGUAAUACGGAGGAUGCGAGCGUUAUCCGGAUUUAUUGGGUUUAAAGGGUGCGUAGGUGGUAAUUUAAGUCAGCGGUGAAAGUUUGUGGCUCAACCAUAAAAUUGCCGUUGAAACUGGGUUACUUGAGUGUGUUUGAGGUAGGCGGAAUGCGUGGUGUAGCGGUGAAAUGCAUAGAUAUCACGCAGAACUCCAAUUGCGAAGGCAGCUUACUAAACCAUAACUGACACUGAAGCACGAAAGCGUGGGUAUCAAACAGGAUUAGAUACCCUGGUAGUCCACGCAGUAAACGAUGAUUACUAGGAGUUUGCGAUACACAGUAAGCUCUACAGCGAAAGCGUUAAGUAAUCCACCUGGGGAGUACGCCGGCAACGGUGAAACUCAAAGGAAUUGACGGGGGCCCGCACAAGCGGAGGAACAUGUGGUUUAAUUCGAUGAUACGCGAGGAACCUUACCCGGGUUUGAACGUAGUCAGACCGGCCUUGAAAGAGGUCUUCUAGCAAUAGCUGAUUACGAGGUGCUGCAUGGUUGUCGUCAGCUCGUGCCGUGAGGUGUCGGCUUAAGUGCCAUAACGAGCGCAACCCUUAUCACUAGUUACUAACAGGUCAUGCUGAGGACUCUAGUGAGACUGCCAGCGUAAGCUGUGAGGAAGGUGGGGAUGACGUCAAAUCAGCACGGCCCUUACAUCCGGGGCGACACACGUGUUACAAUGGCAUGGACAAAGGGCAGCUACCUGGCGACAGGAUGCUAAUCUCUAAACCAUGUCUCAGUUCGGAUCGGAGUCUGCAACU